AUCACUCUUUUUAGUGGCGUCAUCUCUUCCACCAUAGCUACUUUCCAUUUUGUAUCUACAAAGGCCUCCUGCCACUUCUAUGGAAUAUAAACAUAAGAAAGAGAAGACACAAAAAUAGGAAAGGAAGGAGAAAGAGA